rfam:Ixodes scapularis strain Wikel colony gcontig_1108379629184, whole genome shotgun sequence.
GGUCUCAUGGUGUAACGGUUAGCACUCUGGUCUCUGAAUCCAGCAAUCAGAGUUCAAAUCUCGGUGAGACCU